rnacentral:lncRNA from 1 species
CUCCACCCGCCUGCCCGCCCAUCUGUCACUCGUCCGUGCGCCCAUUCUUCCACCCCUUCUGUGACGUCUGGUGACUCGACUGUGCCCUGAGGAGACAUGGUUGGCUGUUAAAGAGAAUGCACCUCCACCACACAGCCAAGGGAUGCCUCGGGACUCACCUCCACGGCCGGCACCUUCCCAUUCACACCACACCAGACUAGCUGGAGAGGAGCGGGGCAGACCUCUGCCAACGCCCACUUUACACAGGAAAGAGCUGAGGGCUAGAGAGGGGCAGCAGAAAGGCUUGUGUGGAAAAACCCUGUGGUUUCAACUGCCUGCAUAUCAGUGCAGGAUCUGAGGCUCUAACAACAGGAGAAUAACAUCUUCAACAAGGAAGGGCACCUUCUCCAGGAUCUCCCAGGAGGAUUUCAGCCCUACGCGGUUUUGCCUGACACCUGCCUUUGGCCCUGAGUGGAGGCACCACCCUGCUUGAGCAGUGGCCCUUGG